rnacentral:rRNA from 1 species
GGGGAAUAUUGCGCAAUGGGGGGAACCCUGACGCAGCGACGCCGCGUGAAGGAAGAAGGUCUUCGGAUUGUAAACUUCUUUGAUCGGGGACGAAACCUGACGGUACCCGAUAAAAAAGCCACGGCUAACUACGUGCCAGCAGCCGCGGUAAUACGUAGGUGGCAAGCGUUGUCCGGAAUUACUGGGUGUAAAGGGCGUGUAGGCGGGGAUGCAAGUCAGAUGUGAAACCCCACGGCUCAACUGUGGGCUUGCAUCUGAAACUGUAUUUCUUGAGUGUUGGAGAGGGAAGUGGAAUUCCUAGUGUAGCGGUGAAAUGCGUAGAGAUUAGGAGGAACACCAGUGGCGAAGGCGACUUCCUGGCCAACAACUGACGCUGAGGCGCGAAAGCGUGGGGAGCAAAC